UUGUAGAGAAACAUGGAAAGCCUACUACUGUCUGUUCCCACUAGCUGUAUUACACAGUGGCGGUCUUACUGGGAAACUGUGGUCCAUACACUUGCCAAAUUUCUCAGCUUUGAGAGGAGCUGUAUAAGGUUUCUGAAUGAGAAAAAAAUCUCCUGGGAUGUUUCUGUGUUCUCAUCAGAGGGAGACAUCUAGGCACAUGGAUGGAGCUCACAGAGGCUUACACAUCACUGAAAUCCCUUCAAGUAUAGGCGAAAUAGUUUGCAUGCACAGAACCACAUUAAGGCAACCCAGGGCUUCAGGCAAGACCACAGCUGGUUCCUCCUUGUUCAAGCCCAAGUAUUUCUUGUGUGCUCUGCUUUGCCUUGUGUGUAAGUGGAACUAGUCCUCUUCCCUCAGCUGCUGAGAUGUUUUUCCCGUUUCACUUUUUCUGCAGACAGACAAGGGCUAUCUUUAGUGAUAAGAGAUUUCAGCCUUUAUUUUCCCUUUACAUUGUAAGUGCACACACAUAGAAACAAAAAGUGCUUUGGUAUUAUUAUUGGUCACAAGAUCAACAGGUUGCAGAAUUAAAAGCAGAUGUUCACACCUCCCGGGAGUAUAAUUUUAGAUGCCUCCUGAUCUUGGCAGGCAUCAUUUUUUUGAUUACAGCUUCAUUUUUUUAUUUAUUUUUUUUAAGUACAAUGGCUACAAAUAAAAGGAUUGAGAGGUUUUCUUUUUUGGGGGGUGGGGGGAUGGGAAAUGCUCAAAGUCUGAAUCCAUUGCUUGACACCAAAAGUCAGGUUUGAUGUACUGUGGCUUUGGUGGAAUUGCCUUUAAAUGAGAUGAAAAAGAGGCGUACUGUCAUCCAAGAACAUAGCCCGAGAGUCCUUCUAUAUGACCAAGAAAAUACUGGUGUUUUUCCUCCGGUUAGGCUGGAAAACUCCUAGCGGUUUGUGGACUAUUUCUGAUUCUCUUACUUCUCUUGGAGAAAAAAGACUAGCAUGUGGAUUUGCUAUUUAAAUUCUCUUCACUAAUGCCACUUUUCAUGGAAUAAGUUGUUAAAUUUGGUAACAAGCCCAUCUGAAAUGUCAUGUCUAUCACUGUAGAGUUCUAAUUAACACUAAGGCUUAUUAGUCUGAGUUGCCUUAGAAUUUGAAUAAGGGCAAAGCUAUGCAUUGGGCUAUAUGCGAUCUUUGCCUCUAGUAGAUUUAAAAUUUUAUUUUCCAGCCUAACCAGAAGAAGUUACAUGUGCAACUCACACUUCCUCCAUUCUUAUUAAAUUCUUGUUACCAAAGAUUUUAGGUUAGGGAUUUUUCAUUGUUCACAGACAAACUAGGGAGCUGGGAAGAAGAUACCAUUGGAAGAGAAGCAAGACCUGAAUCAGAAUUAUGGGGACAAAUGAGAGUGUUAUUACAUUGCUGAUAGCUCGUUUUUCCCCUAAAGAACAUGCCCUCUCCCCCACCCCCUGCAACAGGUGAAAUUCAGAAAUCACUUUCUCCUCUAUUGGAAUGAAUGUGUCACAUUGAAACAUAUUUCCCCCUGCUCUAAUUUCUCACAAGCCAUUUGGCAAUCCAUCUUUUCAGCCCAUGUUGUGCAGGUCUAUGAUUGUAUUUGAAAUUCCUGCACCCAUUAAUCACCACUCUGUGACCUGCUUUACUCUGUAUUUACUAAGCUCCUUUCCUUCACUUCUGGACUGCCAGUACUGUGUAAACUGUUUACUUUUCUGGUGUAGCAUUUGCUCAGCAUUUUGGCAAACUCCAACAAAAUGUUCCCAACUGACUUUUGGCCAACAAACGCAACAAGCUUUUCUUAAAUGGAAUUUGAUUCCUACAUAUGUUUGUCCUUGUUCACUGUUUCAGGCAGCUCUUUUAACCAUUAUCACCUGGCCUCACCUUGUCUCUGUUGUGACUGUAGAAUGAAAACAAUUGUCACACAGGCCUGAACACUCUUUGCAGGUCCUACUCUUUAUUUUUUUUGCUUUCCACCAUAUAUCUUCGAGUUCUCAGGAGACCCAUUUAACUCUUGUACUGCUUGCAGUCAGGCAGAAGAAGAUGUUGCUUUCAUGGAAGAAUGAGGGGGAAAAAAUGCAGAAAUGGAAAAAAACAGCAGAGGAAUUGGAAUUUCCACUCCAUUUUGCUGAAACAAUAAAAUAGAUCUGAUGCUUUAAAUCAGGGGUCCUCAAACUACAGCUUGUGGGCUGUAUACAGCCCCCAGGGUCCUCAAUCCGGCCCCCGGCAUUUACAGGCCCCCCCCCGCGCCGGGGGUUUGGGGGGGAAACCAAGCAGCUGCAGAUGGCUGCCUGCCACUGCAUCCGUGCGCCGGCCCCCUGGUUAGAAAGUUUGAGGACCCCUGCUUUAAAUAUUCGCCUUCCAAUAGGUACCCAGCCUUGUGUGAGGUUGUGCUGGAAAUAUAUGGAGCAGGAAUAUCUUUGGCAUAAACACUUCACAUUCAUACGCAGAAGAAAGAUGGAAAGAAGGGGAAAAUAACAGAAAAAUGAGAUUUCUUUCACUAAACUUAAGCUGUUCAGGAGCUAUUAUCACUGGAGUGUGAUAGGACAGCAGCCAGUGGACCCCAUCUAUCUUUACACACUUCUCCUCUGUAGGAAAGACCAGAGGGCGUUUAGCACUGAAGUGAUUACAAAUGAAGUCUCUAUACUUAACUUUGGGUAGACAAUGAGCUUUUAAACAGCUCAAAAAAUGACAAUGACUUUUUUUAACGGCUGCAGUGAAGUGGGAGAAGUCCUGCCUGAAAAUGUCCAGUUCGAAAUCAGGUGGCAAGUCUUGAGUCCUAGCUAAGAGUGAAGCCUGUGUUUCCUGAGCUGUAGUGCGAUGCAUGGCCCAUCCUGCCUCUGCUGACCUGAACUGUCUGAGCCUGCCCACCUGGGAAGGAGCUAGCCAAAUCUCACUGUCACAAAAACACUUCCAUUUCCCACCAUUGCCAGGAAUACCUGAAGAACAGCCCAUUUGUGUAUUUCAUGUUCUGAUCUAUGUUUAGCCCACUGUUACCCUUUUGUAUUGAUAUGUUGUAUAGUUUUUGGCUGUUCUGCUUUGCAUCUUAGUCAGAAUUGGCCUAAAAAACCCAAACCCACAAACUUGAAACCCCAAACCCAUUGUGCAAAUAUUUUAGAUCAUUAAACAAGGCUUAACCCUGUCCAGGAGAAAAGGACUUCAGAGGUCUUAUUAUGGAUAGUGUGUUUAUUAUUGUUAUUCUGUGCUAGUUGCUCAUCUAUCCUGCUGGAGCAUAAAAGACAUUUUGCACUGUGUGUGCUGGUAGAUAUCUCAGUGCUUCAUCUUCACGCAGCAGAAUGUAACUGGGUCAUUUGAGGACAGAGUGUGGGUGGUGCUUGAUAGUUUUUAUAAACAAAUCAAAAUACCUCUGCUAUCCCCAGUGCCUAGUUAGCUGUAUGCUUUCCAAGUUCUCAGUGCUGAAAGCAUGGAAAGUUAGAUACUCUCCCGGCAAAGAAACAGAGGUUGCCCAAGCACUUCAAGAAGUCAGCCUGUUUUUCAUAUCCCAAAGCCUGGGAAUGGGAGAUGGAUUUCAGUGAGCCUGACUGAAAACCUCACUGAACUCUAGACACAGCGUCAGCCCCUUUCAAAAAUAGACACAGGUUUUGAAUUGAUGAAAACCAGUGGUGUUCCAUUAUCUUGAAGUGACUGACACCAGUUUACACCAGCUGAAGAUCUCUUGUUAAAUCCCACAUUAUCCACUGGAAACAACAGAAAAAACAUUUGAAUGACCUGGAAGACAGACUGACUCACUGAAGUCUCACCUUAGGAUAUGUGUGUGUUUUAGUGCUGCCACCUUCUACUUUCUGUGUGUGUCCUUCCCUUGUAACCUAGACUUUAUUUUAUUUCAACAUAAGGGUAAUGGUCCAGAUUUAUUUAAUUUCUUAUAAGUUCUUCUGGUUACCUUUGCUGUUGGUUGACUUUAGACCAUUUUUAGUAGAAACACUGAGGAAAAAGGGCCUUGACUACAGCUUGUAGGCUCUUCUGCAGUACCAUGACUUACUAACAUCUCCAGGAACAUAUAACUUCAAUAAGAAGGAGUAGAGGAGCAAAGGUUCAGAGAAUGAGAAGACAACUCCAAUUUUAAAGAGAAAGGGACAGCGAGAAAGUCUGCACAUCCCCACAUCUUGUAGGUUGCUGAUGUCACCCAGGAGGCAGGAGGAUAGUAGAAAGGGUGGAAAGAGCCAAUACCAUCUUUAUCAUCAUCUUCUGAGCUAUGUGUAUGAAUAAAAUAAUUACCUGGGAUGGUGAAGGAGCUCCAUGGUAGACUCAGAGUGUGAGAUUAGGUUUCCUGAUUCCCAUCCCUGUGUUAUAUCCACCAACAACACUGCCUCACUUAAUGGGGUAAAAAUUGGCUUCACAUCAGGGUGGAACAUUCUGUGUCUCCACCACGUUGACUGCUCCAUCACUGAAGAGAGUUCUGUUUACAAACUCCACCACUGCACUUCUUACUGUUAAAUUCCUCUUGGGUUAGGGGUGAGUCCAGGAUGGUUGAAUUUCAGCAGUUUGCUCUGGAUUAUGUUUUAAGCCUUCCUGGACAACCACAGCAUGUUGGUCCCAAUGAGAGUAAUUCCAAAUGAGCCAGUAAGUGCUUUCAUACAAAACGGCUGCUUUCAGUUCCCUAUCUGUAUAGCAAAUUAGCCUUCACUUUUAAAUUUUAAAUUGUCAAUUGUGAUGUGAUUCUGUAUUUAGACCAGCUGUAUCCCUUCACAUUAAUAAAAAUAAUGUUUCAAUUGUUUGAAAUUUCACGGGGUAAAAAAGUACAAAAUACCCGUUGAAGUUGUCAUCUUCUCUGUGAAUAUCAGCUCCGCAAGCAUGGAUAUCCCCAGCUCCUAGAGGUCAUUCAGGUCCCUGAAGGGCUGUCGUGGACCCAGCAUAGCUCUGCUUUCCUGUCCAGAAAAGACAUAUUAGCGAUACAACUCCACAAGCUUCUGGGAACAAGCAUCUCUGAGAAGUAGCCCUGUUAUUUUUAGGGAGCAGAGCCAUCCAUUAGUCAAUGUUUGAAAGGAAAAGUUUUUUUUUUUUAAAUUUAAAAUAUUUUUUUUGUUUCAUAAAUAAGAAUUUCUUUAGUAAGAAAUGUGUCUUUGAAAUAAAAAAUGAAAACAUUUCAUUCUGCAAAUUUGAAAGAA